GAUGUAUGAGUACGUUCACAUAAAAAGUACUCCAAAAUCGAAUGUCAAGAAACGAUUUUUUAUCAAUUUCGAAGGGUAAAUUCGACUUCGAAAACUCGAUUCUUUUAUGGUAUAAAUCGACUCUCGAUUAGAGUUUUUCAUGUCUGUAUAUGCUUUACGAUAACUUUAUCUAUGACGAUAACAGUGCUAUAAUUUAAUAUCAUAGGUGAAGUAUUAAGAUCAGAAAUUUAUUGAUUCCAAAAAAAAAAUAAAGAUGUCAGCACAAGUCGAGCCUCUAACUUUGUCCAAGGAUAUAAAGAGAGCCAUUGAACUACUGGAUAAAUUACAAUCUAGUGGAGAUUUUCCAACAACUAAGCUUUCUGCUCUUCAGAAAGUUCUUCAAAGCGAGUUUUUGAAUGCUGUUAGGGAAGUUUAUGAACACGUGUACGAAACCGUUGAUAUUCAGGGCUCGCAGGAUGUUAGAGCUUCGGCCACAGCUAAAGCCACUGUUGCAGCAUUUGCUGCAAGUGAAGGACACGCUCAUCCAAGAGUAGUUGAAUUACCAAAAACUGAGGAAGGACUCGGAUUUAAUGUGAUGGGAGGAAAAGAACAAAACUCGCCCAUUUACAUUUCCCGUAUCAUACCCGGUGGUGUAGCUGACCGACAUGGAGGACUAAAAAGAGGAGAUCAACUUUUAUCUGUUAAUGGUGUGGUGAGUACUGCACACAAUAAAUAUUUAGUUUUUUUUUUGUAAAUUGUAAGUGAGUCCAAGAACAUUAAAAUUGAUAUGCUUAUAGUUUUUUUUUUUUUUUAAGGAAAAGUAGAAACAAGAAUUAGCAUCGAAAAAAAUCAUGUGAUGUAGACCGAGGCUUGCGUUCAUAGCGAAGCAGUACGAGUGCAGCUAAUGAACUGUUGCUACUCUAACGGCAAAUCAUUAACCCCCGUUAUCGUAUUUUGAGUUGCAGAUUAUCAUUCUGGGGUGUUGUGGAAUCUCCGACAGAUUUGUGUAGUUGUCAGAAUUUGGAAGAAAAAAUCAA